ACACAUGAACUACCAAAUGGCACUGUCAGACACAUGAACUACUUUGUCCACACCUAGCUAAUAUUUGGUAGUUCAUGUGUCUGAAAAUGCCAUUUGGUAGUUCAUGUGU
rnacentral:pre_miRNA from 1 species